rnacentral:rRNA from 1 species
UACGUAGGGAGCAAGCGUUGUCCGGAAUCAUUGGGCGUAAAGCGCGCGUAGGUGGCUUCGUAAGUCCGUUGUGAAAGUCAAAGGCUCAACCUUUGAAAGCCGAUGGAUACUGUGAAGCUAGAGUACGGAAGAGGCGAGUGGAAUUCCUGGUGUAGCGGUGGAAUGCGCAGAUAUCAGGAGGAACACCGGUGGCGAAGGCGGGUCUCUGGGCAGUAACUGACGCUGAGGAGCGAAAGCGUGGGGAGCGAACAGG